rnacentral:rRNA from 1 species
CCUACGGGAGGCAGCAGUGGGGAAUCUUGCACAAUGGAGGAAACUCUGAUGCAGCGAUGCCGCGUGAGUGAAGAAGGCCUUUGGGUUGUAAAGCUCUUUUGUAGGGGAAGAUAAUGACUGUACCCUAAGAAUAAGGUCCGGCUAACUUCGUGCCAGCAGCCGCGGUAAUACGAAGGGACCUAGCGUAGUUCGGAAUUACUGGGCGUAAAGCGCGCGUAGGCCGUUGAGUUAGUUAAUUGUGAAAUCCCAAAGCUUAACUUUGGAACUGCAAUUAAAACUGCUCGACUAGAGUUUGAUAGAGGAAAGCGGAAUACAUAGUGUAGAGGUGAAAUUCGUAGAUAUUAUGUAGAACACCAGUUGCGAAGGCGGCUUUCUGGAUCAACACUGACGCUGAGGCGCGAAAGUAUGGGUAGCAAAGAGGAUUAGAUACCCUGUAGUCCAUACCAUAAACGAUGAUUGCUAGAUGUUGGAAACUUUAUUUUACAGUAUCGCAGCUACGACAUANACACUCGCGUGGAGUACGACGACGAAGUAACGUACAANAGUAGUAGCGNGNGAGACGCGACGACGACGACGACGAGGAGAG